UACGAAGGGGGCUAGCGUUGCUCGGAAUCACUGGGCGUAAAGGUGCGUAGGCGGGUUUUAAGUCAGGGUGAAAUCCUGGAGCUCAACUCCAGAACUGCCUUGAUACUGAAGAUCUUGAGUUCGGGAGAGGUGAGUGGAACUGCGAGUGUAGAGGUGAAAUUCGUAGAUAUUCGCAAGAACACUAGUGGCGAAGGCGGCUCACUGGCCCGGUACUGACGCUGAGGUGCGAAAGCGUGGGGAGCAAACAGG
rnacentral:rRNA from 1 species